AGGUCCAGCCUGCCCAGUGACAAACUUAAACGGCCACGGUACCCUAACCGUGCAAAGGUAGCAUAAUCACUUGUUCUUUAAAUAAGGACUCGUAUCAACGGCAUCACGAGGGUUCUACUGUCUCCUUUUUUUAAUCAGUGAAACUAAUCUCCCCGUGAAGAAGCGGGGAUACUCCUAUAAGACGAGAAGACCCCAUGGAGCUUUAAACCCAACUAUAUACCUAACUAUUAUAACCUCUUAACCCAUUAGCACUUAUAUACUUGGUUUUAGGUUGGGGCGACCACGGAGUAUAACUAAACCUCCACAAUGAACGAAACAACCCUUCUUAUCUAAGAAUUACACUUCUAAGAAUUAGUACACUAACAUAAAAUGACCCAUUAUUGAUCAACGAACCAAGUUACCCUGGGGAUAACAGCGCAAUCCAUUUUAAGAGCCCUUAUCGACAAAUGGGUUUACGACCUCGAUGUUGGAUCAGGAUAUCCCAGUGGUGCAGCAGCUACUAAAGGUUCGUUUGUUCAACGAUUAAAAUCCUACGUGAUCUGAGU
rnacentral:rRNA from 1 species